GAUAUCAGAGCUCAAGAGAUAUGGACCACAUAUUCUGAUUGAAAGAUGCCUUGCAACCAUUCCUUAGAGAUGGCUGUUUUCAUAUCACGGACUGUUUCAGUGACAGCCCCACAGGUCAAGCGGUGGCCUUUCCCACCGUCCGGAGAGAAGGCUGAUCCCUGCUCCCUGACUUUUCUGUCUGAAGAUGGAGGCCCUGUGGACUUCCUGCUUUUCUACUUCCACGUAAGAGCGCAAGAUUAACUGAAGCAGAACUUUGAACAAGACUCAGCUUUAUGCUCUGGAACCCUUCCCACUGUCAAUUAAUAAUUGACGCUCCUUCCCCUGCCAAUGGCUAAGCCACAGCCAGGCUACUGUGUGGUGGACUCAGAAAUGAUCAGCUCUUAGGAAACCAUCUCAGGCUAGAAAUUGGCACCUGGCUCCAUCUCUGUGCCUUUCAGUGCAUCUGAUUUUGCUUGCCUGUCCCAUAUUUCUCUCUUGCAUCCUGAAUCAAGCACUUAGAGCGAAGUGGCAGGUGCUAAGGAAAUGACUCAGUCAAUUCGAAGACCACAUGAUCCUUAAGCUGAAGCUUCACCCCAAAGGGAAUGUUAAGGUUUUAAUCACUGGUUCUGUUACCUGCUUUCUGUCCACCCAAAGGUUCUGCUCACAAGUGUCUCAUCUUCUCACCCUCAACGAGAUCAUGGACAUGGGAGGGAGACACAGAAGGGGAUGACAGUAUAAGAGGGCAGUAGGGAUGUGUGGGUGGUGUCACGUGUCACCCCCAAUCUGUCAACCUCUGUGGUGUCUUUGGAUAUACAUCUUAAGACCCUGCCACAAAGUCCGUCUUCCUUAGCAAGAGAGCUUUGGUCUUCUAGAUAGUACUGGUCCAUGGGAAAUGGCCUAUUUGUGAACAUCUGAUUGCUGAGAGGGGUUCUCAUUUACAGACAACUAACAAGAUUAAAGUGCUAAUUUAAAAAGUGCUUAGCCUAGAUCUUUCAGCAGCACCAGCCUUGCGAGUUCCUAACUGCUGUUUCUGGGAGUUUAUAAUUGCUGUUUCUGCUAACGGGAGCCAUUUCAUUCCCUUGCAUGGAAAUGGAUCAGAUAAAUCACAUUAGGUAGGUUUACAGAAGCAGGCAAUGACAGGUUCCUCAGAACCGAAAGCUAAAUAACCUGCUAGGGUCUGACUCUCUUUCAUCAGGCUCUCUAUCUUCAAACCCAAUACCUAUUUAGAGCUGCCGAUAACACCCCCUGGAUGCUCCUGGCCCUUGUCCUCAGAAAUAAUGGUCGGUUCCACCGAUGCUAUGGAAUUUAAACAUUUUUGAUACAGUCUAUUAAAAAGAGGGAUUGUAGCUAAUUCAAAUUCAGCAACUUCUAAUAAAAAAAUUAAAAGU
rnacentral:lncRNA from 1 species